AUUUAUAUAGUUUAAUAAAAACCCUACAUUUUCAUUGUAAAAUUAGAUCUUAUCUUAUAAAUA
rnacentral:tRNA from 1 species